AUCCUUUUGUGAUUCAUUAGCAUGAUGACUGGGUUUUCACCUGUUGUGGGUGACGUGCCUCGCUGAAACCUUGUCACCACGCCAGCAUGAUACCCAUCUGACA